AAAGACAAGAAGGAAAGAAGGAAAUAGUAGAAGCAUUCGAGUGAUCUGAAAUAGGUACACGAUUCACCAAUUUUCUUCACCAAAUUUUGAUUUAGCAAAAAUUAUUCGAAUUCCCUUCUUUCCUUCUUGUCAAAUGCUUCUAUUCUUCGUGUUUCUUUCUCGUGCAUUUGUGUUGUGCAUCGUGCUUGGGUCAAGACAAGCCACCAAUUCGAAAGACAAGAAGGAAAGUAGUAGAGAAGCAACUCAAAUGCUUCCAAAGCACAACACGACGCACGAUCCUCGUAAUCCCCCAACAUCGCACCACCUAAAGCGGCCAAAUCCUGGGAAAAAAGGCGCAAUUCCAAAGCGAGAACGAAUCGAGAGGGGGAACCUGAAGGUUGGGGGUCGCCAGAGGAAUGUCGAUGAGGCUAAGCCGCUUAUCCGGGACUUCGGAAUCGGCCAUCACUCGACAAAUUCAGAGAGCGGAUAUGACUGAAUCGAAAAGCAAUGGAGGUCGAGGUUGGGGGUGUUGCAAUAUCUUAGGGAUUCUGUAUAUAUUCUAGGAUAUUAUAAAAUUAUUUUUUGUGUAUUCUCUAGGAUUGUUUUCCUAAUAUAUCUUAUAGAUUAGGCUUCAUUGUUCCUAUUUAUUCCGGCCGUGUGCCUUGAUGCUACUCAUUGCUUUUUUUCUAAAUAUUUUCUCUCUAUCAAGGGGGGUCAAGACGGGUGCCUGGAGAAGGCGAAGGUGAACACGGAAUCAAAGGCGAUUCGAGGAAGAGAGAAUGGGCCACUCACGAGUGAGUCGCUUGGCGUUGGAUUCUUUGGUUGCUGUUUGGCUUUGACAGGGAGUUUCUUGAACUUUGGAGAAGCGGCGGUUUUCUUCAGAAUUUAAUAUAUACAAGAAAAGCGGAAAUGUAAUUCGCGGAGCGCCUCCUUUGGCCUUUUCAUGAGUUCGCUCGCUCGUAUGAAUCGACUGGACAGCGAUGAAAAGCCAGCCAACACAUGCUGCACGAUGGGAAAAUGAAGUAAGGUGGAAAUUGAAAAGCCAGCUGGGCUCCAUUUGUUUUGUAAAGUGCUAUAUUAUGGUGAUUCGCACAUUGAUGUCUUGAUGUUAUGUAAUGUCAGGAUUAUCACCCACAGCUGGGUGUUAAUUCGGUAAAGCACCGACGAUCGCAAC
rnacentral:lncRNA from 1 species